GUGCUCUUUCCCAUGAUUAUAGACACUUGGGAAGGGGGCAGAAACUAAGACAUCUAUCAGGUCAGUGGGUUUCAAAAAUUUUAAGAGAACACCUUUAUUCAGAUAAAAUCUUUCUCAAAACCUCAAUAUCAUAAACAGGUCAAUAUGUGGCUGCUUUGGUAAAGCACCUAGGUAGAACCCCAAAUCAUCUCAGACACAUUUCCAAACUCUUGAGCUGAGCCUAGACAACCUCUGCAGUUUUCAGGCUCAACAGAAAUAUCAAAGGAAGAAAGCUCUUCACUUCAAAAGACCAAUGAGAAGAGUGGAUUUUUGGAUGUCCACCAACCAAUGUUGGCUUCACACAGCCAGGCGCUUCAUAAAUGCACACACCACUGAACAAACUCGAAAACAAGACAGUAUACAAGAUGUCCUGUAAUGGAGGCAGCCAAUGCUGAGCUAUGGAGGUGCAGAGGGCAAGAGGAGGAUCAGGAAGACUUCCUGUACCAAUAAACAUGCAGGUGAUUUGUGAAAACCACAACCAGCCACAAUGUUGGGAAAUCAGACUGGAAACCCUGCCCAGCAGAACUUUGGAGAAACAUCCUGCCUUAGUCAGGGCUCUUUCCAGGGCCUUGGGGAGAAGUCCUGUAUCAGGGAAGAACCCUGAAACUCCAUGA
rnacentral:lncRNA from 1 species